AUGCCCCUCGGAAACUCAGGUCCGCCGCAUCUCCUGGGCGACCGAAGGGCUCGGCCGGCCGGUAGCGGAAUUCUGGCCUCCUCAGAGCCGCCGCCGGCCGGCCACCUU
rnacentral:sRNA from 1 species